GAAAAGGUUCGCCAUCACUGGCUUAGUGGCAGAGCAUUUGUUUUGCAUACAGAAGGUCAUAGGUUCUAACCCCAGCCUCUCCA
rnacentral:tRNA from 1 species